UGUGUAGGCGGUUCUGUAAGUUUGGUGUGAAAUCUCCCGGCUUAACUGGGAGGGUGCGCCGAAAACUGCAAAGCUUGAGUGCUGGAGAGGAUAGCGGAAUUCCUGGUGUAGCGGUGAAAUGCGUAGAUAUCAGGAGGAACACCGGCGGUGUAGACGGCUAUCUGGACAGCAACUGACGCUGAGACAACGAAAGCGUGGGGGAGACAAACGA
rnacentral:rRNA from 1 species